rnacentral:rRNA from 1 species
UACGAAGGGUGCAAACGUUGCUCGGAAUUAUUGGGCGUAAAGGGCUCGUAGGCGGCCAACUAAGUCGGAUGUGAAAUCCCCAGGCUCAACCUGGGAACUGCAUCCGAUACUGGAUGGCUUGAAUUCGGGAGAGGGAUGCAGAAUUCCAGGUGUAGCGGUGAAAUGCGUAGAUAUCUGGAGGAAUACCGGUGGCGAAGGCGGCAUCCUGGACCGACAUUGACGCUGAGGAGCGAAAGCCAGGGGAGCAAACGGG